ACAGACGAGGAGCUUGCUCCUCUGACGUUAGCGGCGGACGGGUGAGUAACACGUGGAUAACCUACCUAUAAGACUGGGAUAACUUCGGGAAACCGGAGCUAAUACCGGAUAAUAUAUUGAACCGCAUGGUUCAAUAGUGAAAGACGGUUUUGCUGUCACUUAUAGAUGGAUCCGCGCCGCAUUAGCUAGUUGGUAAGGUAACGGCUUACCAAGGCAACGAUGCGUAGCCGACCUGAGAGGGUGAUCGGCCACACUGGAACUGAGACACGGUCCAGACUCCUACGGGAGGCAGCAGUAGGGAAUCUUCCGCAAUGGGCGAAAGCCUGACGGAGCAACGCCGCGUGAGUGAUGAAGGUCUUCGGAUCGUAAAACUCUGUUAUUAGGGAAGAACAAAUGUGUAAGUAACUAUGCACGUCUUGACGGUACCUAAUCAGAAAGCCACGGCUAACUACGUGCCAGCAGCCGCGGUAAUACGUAGGUGGCAAGCGUUAUCCGGAAUUAUUGGGCGUAAAGCGCGCGUAGGCGGUUUUUUAAGUCUGAUGUGAAAGCCCACGGCUCAACCGUGGAGGGUCAUUGGAAACUGGAAAACUUGAGUGUAGAAGAGGAAAGUGGAAUUCCAUGUGUAGCGGUGAAAUGCGCAGAGAUAUGGAGGAACACCAGUGGCGAAGGCGACU
rnacentral:rRNA from 1 species